AAUGAACGAUGGCGGCAGGCCUAACACAUGCAAGUCGAACGGAUCCUUCGGGAUUAGUGGCGGACGGGUGAGUAACGCGUGGGAACAUACCCUUUGGUACGGGAUAGCCUCGGGAAACUGGGCGUAACAACGUAAGUGGACGAGAGAGGAAAGAUUUAUCGCAAAAGGAUUGACCCGCGUUGGAUUAGGUAGUUGGUGGGGUAAUGGCCUACCAAGCCGACGAACAAUAGCUGGUUUGAGAGGAUGAUCAGCCACACUGGGACUGAAACACGGCACAGACUCCUACGGUAGGCAGAAGUGGGGAAUCUUAGACAAUGGAGGAAACCCUGAUCUAGCCAUGCCGCGUGAUCGAUGAAGGCCUUAGGGUUGUAAAGAUCUUUCAGGUGGGAAGAUAAUGACUGUACCACCAGAAGAAGCCCCGGCUAACUCCGUGCCAGCCGCCGCAGUAAUAC
rnacentral:rRNA from 1 species